CACGCCGUAAACGAUGAAUGCUAGGUGUUGGGGGUCAAACCUCGGUGCCGAAGUUAACACAUUAAGCAUUCCGCCUGGGGAGUACGGUGGCAACACUGAAACUCAAAGGAAUUGACGGGGACCCGCACAAGCAGCGGAGCAUGUGGUUUAAUUCGAUGCAACGCGAAGAACCUUACCAGGGCUUGACAUCCUCGGACGACACUAGAGAUAGUGUUUUCUCUUCGGAGACUGAGAGACAGGUGG
rnacentral:rRNA from 1 species